GAUGAACGCUGACAGCAUGCUUAACACAUGCAAGUCAACUGUGGCGGACGGGUGAGUAACGCGUAAAGAACUUGCCUCACAGAUAGGGACAACAUUUGGAAACGAAUGCUAAUACCUGACACUGUGAGAGAGCUUUGCGUCCCAUUAGCUAGUUGGAGAGGUAACGGCUCACCAAGGCGAUGAUGGGUAGCCGGCCUGAGAGGGUGAACGGCCACAAGGGGACUGGGACGCGGUCCGUACUCCUACGGGAGGCAUCAGUGAGGAAUAUUGGGCAAUGGACCAAAGUCUGAUCCAGCAAUUCUGUGUGCACGAUGAAGUUUUCGGAAUGUAAAGUGCUUUCAGUAGGGAAGCGGUACCAACAGAAGAAGUGACGGCUAAAUACGUGCCAGCAGCCGCGGUAAUAC
rnacentral:rRNA from 1 species